rnacentral:rRNA from 1 species
AACAGCUCACUAGUCGAAUGACUCUGCGCCGAUAAUUUACCGGGGCUAAGCAUGACACCGAAGCUAUGGACAGGAAUGUGGUAGGGGAGCAUUGCAUGCAGCGGAGAAGCAUGACCGGGAGGGCAUGUGGAGCGCAUGGAAGAGAGAAUGCCGGCGUGAGUAGCGGCACGUGGGUGAGAAUCCCACGCACCGAUGGCCCAAGGUCUCCAGAGGAAGGCUCGUCCUCUCUGGGAUAGUCGGGACCUAAGGCGAGGCCGAAAGGCGUAGCCGAUGGACGACGGGUGGAUAUUCCCGUACCCGAUGUGUGGCGAUGGAGUGACGGAGAAGGCUCAGGCAACCAGCUGCUGGAAUAGCUGGGGCAAGCGAGAUACCUGCGCACCAGGGAAAUCCGGUGCGCAUAAGGGGAAGGCACGAUGCAUACGGAAAGCUUCGGCAAGUACGGAAAAGCUGAGAGCAGGCUUCCAGGAAAAGCUUCUAGCACAACACACAUCGGCCCGUACCGAAAAUGGACACACAUGGGCAAGGAGAGAAUCCUGAGGUGAGCGAGAGAACUAUAGCUAAGGAACUCUGCAAAAUGACCCCGUAACCUAGGGAGAAGGGGUGCUCCAGAAAUGGAGCCGCAGUAAAACGGCCCAAGCGACUGUUUACCAAAAACACAGCUCUCUGCGAAGGCGCAAGCCGAAGUAUAGGGGGUGACGCCUGCCCGGUGCUGGAAGGUCAAGGGGAGCUGUCAGCGCAAGCGAAGCAGCGAGCCGAAGCCCCAGUAAACGGCGGCCGUAACUAUAACGGUCCUAAGGUAGCGAAAUUCCUUGUCGGGCAAGUUCCGACCCGCACGAAAGGCGUAACGAUUUGGGCGCUGUCUCAGCUGUAGACUCGGUGAAGUCUUAGUACCUGUGAAGAUGCAGGUUGCCCGCGACUAGACGGAAAGACCCCAUGGAGCUUCACUGCAGGUUGACAUUGGGCUUGGAUGCAUGAUGUACAGGAUAGGUGGGAGGCUGUGAGCCGUGCGCGCCAGCGUACGGGGAGCCGCUGUUGGGAUACCACCCUUCAUGCAUCUAGGUCCUAACCGGAGGCAACGGGCCACGGGACAGUGUCAGUCGGGCAGUUUGACUGGGGCGGUCGCCUCCCAAAGAGUAACGGAGGCGCCCAAAGAUACCCUCAGCAUGGAUGGAAACCAUGCAUAGAGUGCAAAGGCAUAAGGGUGUCUGACUGCGAGACAUACAGGUCGAGCAGGGACGAAAGUCGGGCUUAGUGAUCCGGCGGAUCCGAAUGGAAGGGCCGUCGCUCAACGGAUAAAAGCUACCCUGGGGAUAACAGGCUGAUCUCCCCCAAGAGUUCACAUCGACGGGGAGGUUUGGCACCUCGAUGUCGGCUCAUCGCAUCCUGGAGCUGAAGUCGGUUCCAAGGGUUGGGCUGUUCGCCCAUUAAAGCGGUACGCGAGCUGGGUUCAGAACGUCGUGAGACAGUUCGGUCCCUAUCUGUCGUGGGCGCAGGAGGUUUGAGGAGAGCUGCCCCUAGUACGAGAGGACCGGGGUGGACGGACCGAUGGUGCACCAGUUGUCACGCCAGUGGCACAGCUGGGCAGCCAAGUCCGGACGGGAUAAGCGCUGAAGGCAUCUAAGCGUGAAGCCCCCUCCAAGAUGAGACCUCCCAUUGGCGACAAGUAAGGCCCCUCGAAGACGACGAGGUUGAUAGGCCGCGAGUGCAAGCGCAGCGAUGUGCUUAGCGGGGCGGUACUAAUAGGCCGAGGACUUGGCC